AAUAACUGUUCCUUGAGCUAUAAGAAACACAGCAAUAGGACUUAGGGUUUCUAUAUUUAAUAUCUGUCAAGAAUACAAGUACUUAAGAGUAUAGACGACGAUGGUUGGAUCAUAUUUACCACCUGGUUUCAGAUUUCAUCCAACAGAUGAAGAACUUGUGGGUUAUUACCUGCACAGAAGAAACGAAGGGCUUGAGAUCGAGCUUGAAAUCAUUCCAUUUAUGGAUUUAUACAAGUUUGAUCCUUGGGAGCUUCCAGAGAAAUCUUUCUUGCCAAAUCGAGAUAUGGAAUGGUUUUUCUUCUGUCAUCGCGACAGAAAAUACCAGAACGGAUCUCGGAUAAACAGAGCUACUAAAUCUGGUUACUGGAAAGCCACAGGAAAAGAUCGAAAAAUCAUUUGUCAUACUACUUCUUCUUCCUUGUCUUCUUCUAUCAUUGGGUGUCGGAAAACCCUAGUUUUUCAUUUGGGUCGAGCCCCUUUUGGUGGUAGAACCGACUGGGUAAUGCAUGAGUAUCGCCUCUGCGACAGCGAUCCUUCACAAGGAUCAGUAAAUUUCAAAGUAACAAGAUCAUCUUAAACCAAAAAAGAUGGAAAGAACAAUACUUGUUUUCAUAGUUUACCAAUUGAUAAUUUUCUUUUGGUAUUCAUUUAUAGGGAGACUUUGCGUUGUGUCGUGUGAUAAAGCGGAAUGAGCAUACGGUUAAGAAAUGUGAAACUAACUCACCAGAGGUUUUAGAUGAGCCAUUGAGCAACAAUGUUGAGAGUUCUUGUCAAGCAAGUGACCUAGAAAAGGGUUCUUGUGAUUCAAGUAACACACGCUGGUCUUCUCCUGAUUUAAUCAUCCUUGAAUCAUCUUUUCAGGAAAAUUCACAAUCACAAACAGAAGAAGAUGUUGGUUUCCAAAUAUUUGCAUCGCCCUAAUUCGAGUAUCCACCAGCGUUCUUUGCAGAUUUGAAUUUCGAUUGGGAGAUAGAGAAUCCAUUCACAUUCGAUUAUCAUACAGAAGCUCAUAUGAACAAUGAAGUCAUGAACUAUCACAUUCUUCGGUAAAGCAAAACAUAUUUCACUAGAUUGAAUCUCAAAACCAAACACACUCCC